rnacentral:rRNA from 1 species
UACGUAGGGUGCAAGCGUUGUCCGGAAUUAUUGGGCGUAAAGAGCUCGUAGGCGGCCUGUCGCGUCGGAUGUGAAAGCCCGGGGCUUAACCCCGGGUCUGCAUUCGAUACGGGCAGGCUGGAGUUCGGUAGGGGAGAUCGGAAUUCCUGGUGUAGCGGUGAAAUGCGCAGAUAUCAGGAGGAACACCGGUGGCGAAGGCGGAUCUCUGGGCCGAUACUGACGCUGAGGAGCGAAAGCGUGGGGAGCGAACAGG